GUUUAAAUUGCUUUGUAUGGAGACAUGACCCAUUCCGUGGUAACCAAAUUUUCUACAGUAGAGAGGGGAACAAGAACCAGUCAGAUCUAAAGAAGGAUGCUUGCUAACUAAAUAGCUGCCACUCUUUUUAUAGGGCUGAUGAUUCUAAAAGAGAUGAAACAGCAACGGUGCACAUUCCCCAUCCUGAGCCUCUACAAAAUGUUUGUUGGACACAGGCAUGAAAGUGAGAACAGUAUUUCUCUGUUUCACCAUGGAAAAAAGUGGUACAGAAGAUGGAUGAAUUUGCUGUAACAUGUGAAAACAAGAUAGUGGCUCCUUACUCUCUUGAGUGUUAUAUGUGUGACCACCAACAAUAAAAAAAUUGUCCUAAUAAUUAAGUUGUAGCUCAUUAUCGUCCACAUUUACUAAGUGGAGUAUAUGUUGAACACCUUUUGGAAUUGUGUACAAUUCAUAAUUAAGAAAUGGUCGAGUUUCAGAUUUUCACAAAUUCUUUGCUAGAGUAUAAUUACAUCAAUAUGGUUAUGGAAAACAGCGGCACAUAUCUGAAGAUGGGUGAACAAGUGUACAUGGAAAAUAGCUCCCUCUAGCACAUGUUGUAUCUUACUCUGAGAAAAAGCUGUUUUUCCAAAACCAACAUUUGGAGAUAAAAACGCCAUCUUGAUGCCAUAAACCUUUGUACACCCUCACCCAAAAUACAUAGUUGUGAACAGGGUGCUUUCUUCUUUACAAAUUCACAAGUCAUUGCAACUUUGAAAACAAAGGACUGUUCCAGUGUUAGUUGUACUCAACCAGAUCCAUUGAAAUUAUUAGACCUUAAUCAGUUACGUUCCUUAAUCUCAGUGGGUUUUCUCUUGAAUAUAACUUAGUGUAGCCAAUCACAAAGUUUUCAUCUAAGUUGACACUUUAGUUUUAGAGCCUUCUCAAAGCAUAUGACAUCUUUUAUAGUUGUGACAUCUUUUCAAUAUUCAAAUUAACAAAGUCUAUUAGAGAUACAACAUAUCAAGUGGCUAGUUAAAUAGUCUACCCUUUAGUUGAGACACAAACCUUAAAAGCCAUGAGAGGGGAGAGGACGGCUAUACAGGUUUGUAGCAGGAUAGGAUUCGUCUAAAUGGAGUCAAGUUAAAUUUUAAGUGUGCAGCUGAAAUAAUGUUCCUGAGAGAACCAAGGAAACAAGUUGGAAUUGCAGCACACAGCGUAUUUACCUAGUGUUAAUGGGUUGGUGAAAAUACAAACAUGGCUUUUGCUCGGUGUGCUGAAAUGCAGUGUAAUUUUUCAGUUUUAUUUGGAUGGGAGCAAUGUCACCUGCAUAUCUAAAAUAAGCCUUUUAAAAACUGAAAGGGUCCAUGAUUUGUUAAAAGUCCAAACCACAAAUAUUCCACCGUGAAGAGUUAUCAAUUUUUAUAAGUUUUCAGCCAUUUGGUACUGCAAUUAAGAGGCUUCACGCAUACUGAAACAGACACAAGAAUCCAGUCUUCUGAAUAUUACCAGCCAUGGGCUAAAGCUAUAGCAAAAGGGUACAUAGCUUUGCCUGGAAUAAAAGCAUCAAAAAUAGGCUGUGUAUAUACACGAUACCUUUACAGCUCAUAACAUUUUUUUGUGACUUGCAAAUGGUGAUUUUCAGUACAGUACUAGAACUGGGAGGUGCAAAGAGAUGUUGUGAAUACAGAGUUCACUUUGAAAAGGGCUGAUGUGGGGACAGGAAACUUCAAACUUAUUUGUUGGAUGUAGCUUCUAUUGUGUUACAUAAAAAAUACUAGGCUCGGGAACAAUUCUGAUGGACUUUGAAAACUUGCACUGGUGAUUUGUUUUUGUCUGAUUAAUAAAGUUAUUUUACUGUCCUUUCCAGACAAUGGUUUUUUGCUUGAAGUUGCCUUAAAUGGAUUAAGUACUGCAUGGGUGCGAGAGAGGCAGUGACUUAAAACACUCUUCACUGCCUAGUUAUUCUUAGUACUGUAUAUAAAGCAGAAAUGGAGCAACCACACUAAGCUGGGAUUCAUAGGGGUGGGGAGCGUGCGUGAGGGCUGUGUGUGUGUGUGUGUGCGUGCGCAAUCCAACCAUUUUUUGGUUGUUUGCAGAACUCCAGCUUGCAACUUUUAUAAUUCACUGACUGGCACGUGAGGGGCAUUGUAAUUUUUGUGACGGGGAC
ensembl:lncRNA